rnacentral:lncRNA from 1 species
AUAUUUUCUAGGAAAACAUUUUCCGUGAAAAACAUUUUCCUUCAUACCAAACACACCCUUAAACUAAUAAUAGUAAAAAAAGAAGAAGGGCGGAAUCAUGGUAAAAAUUGUGACAUUGAAAGUGGAGAGUUUUAAUGGAGAUGACAAUGAAUUUUUGAAGAAGAAAGAAGAAAAAUAACAAAGAAAAAAAGUUAAAAUAAUAAAAAAACAAGAAAUUAUAUUUUAUAACAAAUACCUAUAAAAUAAAGCUAUAUUCAUUAUUUUAUGUUGCUCACGUUCUUUAAAGAGAGUGCAUACACUCUUUAUGCCAAGUGACCGAAAAAUAAUGUAAUAAUAUCAGUUCAAGAUUGUUUAGGGG